rnacentral:misc_RNA from 1 species
GAUGAAGAACGCAGCGAAAUGCGAUAAGUAAUGUGAAUUGCAGAAUUCAGUGAAUCAUCGAAUCUUUGAACGCACAUUGCGCCCCUUGGUAUUCCGAGGGGCAUGCCUGUUCGAGCGUCAUUAUAACCCCUCAAGCUCAGCUUGGUAUUGGGGCCUGCCAUCCUGGCAGCCCUUAAAAUCAGUGGCGGUGCCAUUCGGCUCUAAGCGUAGUAACUCUUCUCGCUAUGGAGUCCUGGUGGAUGCUUGCCAUUAAUCUUUUAACUUCUAUGGUUGACCUCGGAUCAGGUAGGGAUACCCGCUGAACUUAAGCAUAUCAAUAAGCGGAGGA